GAGAAAGGUUCACUGAGGGACUGGAUGAAGAAAGACACAGAGGUGGAAGUUGGCCGUGCUGUAGAUCAGUUGGAUCAAAUUUCAUAUAGUUCUGACACACCGCAGCAACUUGAUGUCCAGGCACAACCUCAAGGACAGCCUAGAUUAAUCAAAGAAACAACAUCAGAAGAAGAAGAGAGCUGGACUCAAGUCACCAAGAAAGGGAAGAAGAAAGAGAUAACCCAACCUCUUCCACCCUUGAAUCCACAGCCUUCCAUAAAUCCACCACCUAAAUUGUCUGCCACAUCAAGACCAUCUUCUGAAAAGAGCAACAACUUUGAGAGACUUGUUCAGAGACUUGGUGAAAUCUUUGCAGGAUUAUGCAGAGAGGAACUGAUCAGUGUGAUAACAUCGGUCAGGAAACAGAGAGGGGGCCUCAGUGGUUUAACGGUCAAGGACAUUGUGGCUGAUGCUAGGGUUUUUGCUACACAGCUCAUGAAAAACAAGAAUAAGCUUGUGACUCAAACUUUCUGCGACUUUUCCAUGCCAUUCCAAAAGAACCAAGAGAGACCUCCACCAAGGGAUGAUGAAGAGAUUUGCAUCAUUUGCCAUGAUGGGCUGAGUUGUGAAGAAGUCAAGAGUUUGGAAUGUGGACAUGUUUUUCAUGCAGGGUGCAUCAAACAAUGGGUGUAUGGCAGAGAAAUGACUUGUCCCACGUGUAGAAGACUGGUGCUGUUUCCUGAGGAAUUUCCCAAACUGGGAAAGUAGUUUUGGACCUUUAAUUUUCCUCCUCUGACAUUGUGGGGUUAUAUCGUACCAGUACUUAAAGAUUUGUCUUGCAAAGAACUGUAAACUAUGCAUUGUUUUAUAUUUGUUUUGCAUUACAUAGGGAAUGUAUAUCAAAAUAAGAAGCAAUUUUGUUGUAGUAAUGACUUUUUCUAUAAAAUGAAAUGUUAAAUU
rnacentral:misc_RNA from 1 species